rnacentral:misc_RNA from 1 species
CCAAUUUCCUAUAUGCCUACGCUCGCGUUGGGGUUACAGGUUACGACUUGUUCCCCUGUUUCAAACUUCUGCUCUGCCCUGUACUUAUACCUAUGUGCUAAGUAUAGAAAAGCACAGAAAUUUAUUACGCUCAGUACUGUGAGAAGCCAGUAAAAAUAAUCAAAUCUACCAGUAUUUAUAUUCUGGGAUAACCAGGAUGGCUGCCUUUUUUCUGGGCUCCCUGUUACUGAUUUAAUGAUGCUGUUCAAGAUACUUGCUGCGAAGCAUCCUAAACCUCCAGCUAAAGCAGCAUAAGAAGAUCCUAUACUUUUCAUAGCGUCAGGAGCUUCUUCAUAAAGGAAUUCCAGUAACCCCACGAUGCAAAAUACUUCAGCUAUUCCUAUGAGGCAGUACUGGAUCAACAACCAGAAUGCGCUCAG